AUGUACUGCCAUAUCACCCUGCAGCCCAAGACUGGUUGCCCACUGAAGCUAAGCAGGGUUGAGCCUGGUCAGUACCUGGAUGGGAGACCUCUUGGGAAAACUAGGUUGCUGUUGGAA
rnacentral:rRNA from 1 species